CAGGAAUGAGUAAAAGAAAAAAAAAAAUUAACAUUGUCAUCAAGCAGAGAAAACUCAAAAUUUUUAGAUGAAUGCAUUAUUACAGGUUGAAUAUGGCUGAUCAAUGAUGCAACAGAUUUCAUCAUUACUGCUGCAAGAAAACAGUGCACUGAAUAUUAAAGAAAUAUGAUAUUAGAAUCUCUGCAUUAUCACUACAACCUCACCAUAGCAAUACCUUGCAUGAAAUCAAGGAAAUAUUGAACCGAAAUUUAGACAUUGAUUGUUGUCCUUAUGACAGAAAUAAAACAUAUAACUCAUUCAGUGACACAUUGUAAACAUUUUAAUAGAAGUAUUUCUGCUUAACAAUGGUGUCUUCUAGUUGAACUGUGUAAAAUUGGUAUUAUACAUUAAUCAUCAAGGGCAUCUUCCAUUUAUCACUUUUUUGAAGCUUAAUUACAUCCAUUUCUGACUAUCUAAAAAUGAUAUAGCAUGUACUUACAACCCUUUUAGUGAAUCCAUAUUCACUUCCAUUAUAUUAUGGGCAAAAGAGGAUCUCAACUGAUGUAAUGCUCGCAUACCAAAUGACUCAUUUGUCAGAAACUCGUUGAAACAGAAAAAAGAUUUUCAAUUACUUCCAAAAAUUUCUAUAAACAAAGAACUGUUUGAUCAAUUGAUGUUCUCUACUAUGAAGAUUGGCUUUAGACCAAGUAGUGAAAGGAAAAUAAUUUACCUUUCUAAGUUCUUUCUCCCCUCGGAUCAAUGCACAGAAGCAUUCUACUCUCUAUUAAAUCUUAAGAACAAAACAU
rnacentral:misc_RNA from 1 species